CACGUAGGGUGCGAGCGUUUGUCCGGAAUUAUUGGGCGUAAAGAGCUCGUAGGCGGUGUGUCGCGUCGGCCGUGAAAACCUGUGGCUUAACUAUGGGCUUGCGGUCGAUACGGGCAUCACUGGAGUUCGGCAGGGGAGACUGGAAUUCCUGGUGUAGCGGUGAAAUGCGCAGAUAUCAGGAGGAACACCGGUGGCGAAGGCGGGGUCUCUG
rnacentral:rRNA from 1 species